GACGAACGCUGGCGGCGUGCUUAACACAUGCAAGUCGAACGGAAAGGCCCUGCUUUUGUGGGGUGCUCGAGUGGCGGACGGGUGAGUAACACGUGAGUAACCUGCCCUUGACUUUGGGAUAACUUCAGGAAACUGGGGCUAAUACCGGAUAGGAGCUCCUGCUGCAUGGGGGGGGUUGGAAAGUUUCGGCGGUUGGGGAUGGACUCGCGGCUUAUCAGCUUGUUGGUGGGGUAGUGGCUUACCAAGGCUUUGACGGGUAGCCGGCCUGAGAGGGUGACCGGCCACAAUGGUACUGAGGUACGGCGCAGACGCCUACGGGAGGCAGCAGUGGGGAAUAUUGCACAAUGGGCGGGAGCCUGAGGCAGCAACGCCGCGUGCGGGAUGACGGCCUUCGGGUUGUAAACCGCUUUCGCCUGUGACGAAGCGUGAGUGACGGUAAUGGGUAAAGAAGCACCGGCUAACUACGUG
rnacentral:rRNA from 1 species